rnacentral:rRNA from 1 species
AGAGUUUGAUCCUGGCUCAGGAUGAACGCUGGCGGAGUGCCUAAUACAUGCAAGUCGAGCGGCAGCACGAGUAGUUUACUACUUGGUGGCGAGCGGCGGACGGCUGAGUAACGCGUGGGAACGUGCCCCAAAGUGAGGAAUAACUGCCCGAAAGGGUAGCUAAUGCCGCAUAUGAUCUUCGGAUUAAAGUAUUUAUUACGCUUUGGGAGCGGCCCGCGUCCGAUUAGAUAGUUGGUGAGGUAAAGGCUCACCAAGUCUACGAUCGGUAACUGGUCUGAGAGGAUGAUCAGUCAGACUGGAACUGAGACACGGUCCAGACUCCUACGGGAGGCAGCAGUAAGGAAUCUUCCACAAUGGACGAAAGUCUGAUGGAGCAACUCCGCGUGCAGGAUGAAGGCCCUCGGGUCGUAAACUGCUUUUAUGAGUGAAGAAUAUGACGGUAACUCAUGAAUAAGGGUCGGCUAACUACGUGCCAGCAGCCGCGGUCAUACGUAGGACCCAAGCGUUAUCCGGAGUGACUGGGCGUAAAGAGUUGCGUAGGUGGUUAGUAAAGUGAAUAGUGAAACCUGGUGGCUCAACCAUACAGACUAUUAUUCAAACUCACUAACUCGAGAAUGGUAGAGGUAACUGGAAUUUCUAGUGUAGGAGUGAAAUCCGUAGAUAUUAGAAGGAACACCAAUGGCGUAGGCAGGUUACUGGACCAUUUCUGACACUGAGGCACGAAAGCGUGGGGAGCGAACCGGAUUAGAUACCCUAGUAGUCC